rnacentral:misc_RNA from 1 species
UUUCCGUAGGUGAACCUGCGGAAGGAUCAUUAACAAAUUCCAAAACACGUGUUUGGCAAAGAGAGAGAAGUAUGGAGUGGUGGGGGGUGGUGGUGUCGUCCGUAAAGGCGCGCUUCACCUCUUCUCCUCUAGCACAACCCUCUUUGUCAGUCUCAACACAAAACAACACAUUUACAUUUAUCAUGGACAAUCAAUGGAGAACCAAGUAGUUAUCACAUGAUUAAAAACAACUUUUAACAAUGGAUCUCUUGGCUCUUGCAUCGAUGAAGAACGCAGC